GACAGAGGGGGCAAGCGUUGCUCGGAAUCACUGGGCGUAAAGGGCGCGUAGGCGGGAUGGCAAGUCAGUCGUGAAAUCUCUCGGCUCAACCGAGAAACGUCGGCUGAUACUGCCGUUCUUGAGGGAUGCAGAGGAGACUGGAAUUCCCGGUGUAGCGGUGAAAUGUGUAGAGAUCGGGAGGAACACCGGUGGCGAAGGCGGGUCUCUGGGCAUUUCCUGACGCUGAGGCACGAAGGUCAGGGGAGCAAACGGG
rnacentral:rRNA from 1 species